rnacentral:tRNA from 1 species
GCCCAGAUGGUGGAAUUGGUAGACACGCCAGCUUGAGGGGCUGGUUCCCGUUAGGGUGUGCAAGUUCGAGUCUUGUUCUGGGCACUA